GGCCCCUGUUCUCCCUAUGCCCAGCCAGAUCUCCGUCCUCCUCCCUGAUCAGGGACAAGGAUGCUCCUUUCCUUGUGAAGGAUGUUUCUAUGACUGACCUUCUUCUACUUGAGGAAGGGGAGAGGAGUCCCAAAGACCGAUAUGGAAUGUCUUUUCCUGUGCCAGGACGGAGUGUGCAGGGCAGAUUCUCUUGAGUUGGCAUCAUGUGUUUCAGGUGAGGAAGAGACUAUUGCAAUGGAUGCCCAGGUGGCAAGUGUGUUGAGGAAUAUCAUUGGCAUGUGGACAGUAACAUGGUUAUACUCUACAACUUGGUUACUCACCUGGAGAGAACGUCUUCAGAAAAAGAACUUUUGGUGGCACUUGUAUGGGAUCCUGACAGUGACUUUUUCAUUGGAAAUGGGUGUUUCUAUUUGUAAUUUGUGGACCCGGCACAGUUGCCCAGGUAAUGUUGACCUGGAGCCGAGAUGAGGGGGGGAGGGUAAUUGGACAAUAUUAAAGGGCAGUCCUCAUAAAAUACUCAUUGGGUGUUAA